rnacentral:piRNA from 1 species
CUGGAACUCACUCCAUUGGUCAGGCUGAC